rnacentral:rRNA from 1 species
GGUUUAAUUGGAUUCAACGCCGGAAAACUCACCAGUGCCGACGGACAUAUGAAGAUCAGCGUGAUGAGCUUAUUGGAUUGUUCGAGAGGUAGUGCAUGGCCGUCGUCAGUUCGUACCGUAAGGCGUUCUGUUAAGUCAGAUAACGAACGAGACCCCUAUCGUCUAUUUGCUAAGUGGAUCUCCGGAUUCACUGCACUAUAGCGAGACCGCUGGCGUGAAGUCAGAGGAAGGUGGGGGCAACGACAGGUCAGUAUGCUCCGAAUGCACUGGGCUACACGCGCGCUACAAAGGCCAGGACAAUGGGUCUGCCACUUCGAAAGAAGGCGCUAUCCCGAAACCUGGUCGUAGUUCGGAUCGUGGGCUGUAAUUCGCCCUCGUGAAGCUGGAUUUCGUAGUAAUCGCGUCUCAAAAUGGCGCGGUGAAUAUGCCCCUGCUCCUUGCACACACCGCCCGUCAAACCAUCUUAGUUUGGGGUGGGUGAGGCUGCCUUUACAUGGGGUAUUCGAGCCUGCCUUAGACAAGGAGGGUUAAGUCGUAACAAGGUAUCUGUA